GUUCACCCUUCACGUCUCCGUUUUUCCUUUCAGCAUCAGAGACGCCCAUUGAGUGCUCGACACGUUGCUGUUAGAGUUCGUGAGGAAUGUCGAACGUGGAUGAAAGUUCAGCCAUUGGGAUUCCUUUCAUCUUCGGUUCUUCACGCUUCAAAGUUCUCAGCCGUUUCGUGUUCGUCCGUCUUCUCGAUUUCUCAUCUCUAUAGGUUUGUGUUUCAUAUUCCUUAAUCCUGAAUCCCAUCCAAUUUCUCACGCUUCAAAGUUCAAAGUUCAAUCAUUUCAUAUUUCCAUCUCCAUCUCUUCAUGUCUUCUUCUCUCACGUCUCUUUCUUUUACGUUUCUUGAUUUUCCAUCGUCAUCGUGUUUCUUCACGGUCAUUUCUUCGCCAUCUAUUCGUUCUUUCUCCCCUGUCAGUCGUCAUCUUCAUGUUGAAACCUCACAGUCACAGUCAUUGUCCUUUGGUUACUGGGUUCAAGGAGCAAGUUUUGUCAGGAUCAUGAAUGGAUCGUUCAAGUCUAUUGGUUGUUAUUAAAAAAUUCAAUGGAUUGCUCUUUUUAGUGGAUUUUGUGGAUACUAUGUAUUUAUGGAUUUUGAAGACUUUUGUAGACGUUAUAGUCUUACUUAUGGAUUUUGUAGAUAUUUAAAAACAUUGUUGCCUUUAUUUUGAAUUUUGUAGAUAUUAUGGUCUUUCUUGUGAAUUUUCGAGACUUGUUUUGUUAUUAUAGAUUUUGGAUAUUGUUAUUGUGGAAUCUUAUAUGUUAGCAUUUU